CCCUUAGAUGUUCUGGGCCGCACGCGUGCUACACUGAGUGGAUCAGCGGGUCAGGUUGCGCGAAAGCGUUUCCUAAUCUUGAAAUCCGCUCGUGAUGGGGAUUGACGGUUGCAAUUUUCCGUCAUGAACGAGGAAUACCUUGUAAGCGCGGGUCAUCAUCCCGCGCUGAAUACGUCCCUGCCCUUUGUACACACCGCCCGUCGCUCCUACCGAUUGAAUGUGUUGGUGAGGAGCUCGGAUUGGCAGCAGUUGGUGGUUCGCCACCGGCUAUUGCUGAGAAGUCCUCCAAACCGCCCCAUUUAGAGGAAGGAGAAGUCGUAACA
rnacentral:rRNA from 1 species